rnacentral:rRNA from 1 species
UACGAAGGGGGCUAGCGUUGCUCGGAAUGACUGGGCGUAAAGGGCGCGUAGGCGGAUUGCUUUGUCGGGCGUGAAAUUCCAGGGCUUAACCUUGGGGCUGCGUUCGAGACGGGUGAUCUUGAGUUCGGAAGAGGGUCGUGGAAUUCCCAGUGUAGAGGUGAAAUCGUAGAUAUUGGGAAGAACACCGGUGGCGAAGGCGGCGACCUGGUCCGAGACGUGACGCUGAGGCGCGAAAGCGUGGGGAGCAAACAGG